UCUAGAACUCGAGAUAUAGGCUGAGCAUUGAACAGUAUCAGGGCUGCAGGACAAAUUCCGACUUCUCUAUUGUUGCUACAAUUUGAACUUGAAAACGACCCUUUUGAGUCUUGGACUUUUCAUGAAAGUUUUGGGCCUAUGUCUUAGCUUUCUAUC
rfam:Populus trichocarpa scaffold_18_contig_82, whole genome shotgun sequence.